rnacentral:misc_RNA from 1 species
CGAAGGAGCUAACCGCUUUUUUGCACAACAUGGGGGAUCAUGUAACUCGCCUUGAUCGUUGGGAACCGGAGCUGAAUGAAGCCAUACCAAACGACGAGCGUGACACC